rnacentral:rRNA from 1 species
UACGGAGGAUGCGAGCGUUAUCCGGAUUUAUUGGGUUUAAAGGGUGCGUAGGCGGUCUGUUAAGUCAGCGGUCAAAUGUCGGCGCUCAACGCCGGCCUGCCGUUGAAACUGGCUGGCUGGAGUUGGCGAGAGGUAUGCGGAAUGCGCGGUGUAGCGGUGAAAUGCUUAGAUAUCGCGCAGAACUCCGAUUGCGAAGGCAGCUCACUAGACUGCAACUGACACUGAUGCUCGAAAGUGUGGGUAUCAAA